GGGGACACACAUUUUACCACUUUGGAAGUGUCUCUCGCGCAAACUAUUCAGUUUAGAAAAAAAUGAUAUUAGAAACCUCAAUAUCAUUUUUGAAGACCUAUCCAUAGAUACCCCACACGUAUGGGUUUGAUGAAAAAAAAUUUUUGAGCGAUUUAUGACGUAUUAAAAAAAAACUAUUUACUAGAUCUCGUUCAAACCAAUUUUUGGUGGAAGUUUACAUGGUAAUGUACAUCAUAUUUUUUUUUUAGUUUUAUCAUUCUCUUAUUUUAGAAGUUACAGGGGGGGGGGACACAUUUUACCACUUUGGAAGUGUCUCUCGCGCAAACUAUUCAGUUUAGAAAAAAAUUAUAUUAGAAACCUCAAUAUCAUUUUUGAAGACCUAUCCA